rnacentral:rRNA from 1 species
CCUACGGGUGGCAGCAGUAGGGAAUAUUGCUCAAUGGUGGAAACCCUGAAGCAGCAAAGCCGCGUGGAGGAUGAAGGUUCUGGGAUUGUUAACUCUCUUUGUUCGAGAAGCUAAUGCUGGUACCUAACGCAUAAGCACCGUAGAUCUCCGGGACACCAGCGGCGGUAAUAUGGCGGGUGCAAGAGUUACUCGGAAGCAGUGGGCGUAAAGAGCGCGUAGGCGGGAUGGUAGGCGAGUGGGGAAAGGCUUGGGCUGAACCCGAGGAUUGCGUGUGGAACUGGCAAGCUAGAGUACAGGAGAGGAAAGCGGAAUUCGUGGUGUAGUGGUGAAAUGCGUAGAUAUUAGGAAGAACACCAGUGGCGAAGGCGGCUUGCUGGACUGAAACUGACGCUGAGGCACGAAAGCGUGGGGAGCGAACAGGAUUAGAUACCCCAGUAGUC